AUUGAACGCUGGCGGAAUGCUUUACACAUGCAAGUCGAGCGGCAGCACGGACUUCGGUCUGGUGGCGAGUGGCGAACGGGUGAGUAAUGUAUCGGAACGUGCCCAGUCGUGGGGGAUAACGUAGUGAAAAUUACGCUAAUACCGCAUACGAUCUAUGGAUGAAAGCGGGGGAUCGCAAGACCUCGCGCGAUUGGAGCGGCCGAUAUCAGAUUAGGUAGUUGGUGGGGUAAAGGCCCACCAAGCCAACGAUCUGUAGCUGGUCUGAGAGGACGACCAGCCACACUGGAACUGAGACACGGUCCAGACUCCUACGGGAGGCAGCAGUGAGGAAUUUUGGACAAUGGGCGAAAGCCUGAUCCAGCCAUUCCGCGUGCAGGAUGAAGGCCCUCGGGUUGUAAACUGCUUUUGUACAGAACGAAAAGGUUUCUACUAAUACUAGGAGCUCAUGACGGUACUGUAAGAAUAAGCACCGGCUAACUACGUGCCAGCCGCCGCAGUAA
rnacentral:rRNA from 1 species